AUGGCAUCCAACAACUUGUGUCCUCUGGUUAAAAACAUUCUUCUUUUAUAUACUGAAGGGAAGUGUGUGACAACUGUUAAGAUAAAUGCGCGGACUGAAGCUGAGAUAACACUGCUUGAGAACAAUAUCAUUGUUUACAAAUUUGUGCAAGACCUACAUUUCUUUGUCACUGGCGGUGAUGAUGAAAAUGAGCUUUGGCAUCAGAUCUUCAGGGUUUCUUCGAUGCAGUCACCCUUUUGCUGA